rnacentral:rRNA from 1 species
AUUGAACGCUGGCGGCAGGCCUAACACAUGCAAGUCGAGCGAGCGGCGGACGGGUGAGUAAUGUCUGGGAAACUGCCUGAUGGAGGGGGAUAACUACUGGAAACGGUAGCUAAUACCGCAUACCAUCGGAUGUGCCACGAUGGGAUUAGCUAGUAGGUGGGGUAAGGGCCCACCUAGGCGACGAGCCCUAGCGGGUCUGAGAGGAUGACCAGCCACACGGGAACGGAGACACGGUCCAGACUCCUACGGUAGGCAGCAGUGGGGAAUAUUGCACAAUGGGCGCAAGCCUGAUGCAGCCAGGCCGCGGGUGUGAAGAAGGCCUUCGGGUUGUAAAGCACUUUCAGCGUGGAGGCGUUACCCGCAGAAGAAGCACCGGCUAACUCCGUGCCAGCAGCCGCGGUAAUUC